rnacentral:rRNA from 1 species
UACGUAGGGUGCUAGCGUUAAUCGGAAUUAUUGGGCGUACAGGGCGCGUAGGCGGAUUGGUAAGUUGGAUGUGAAAUCCCAGAGCUCAACUUUGGCACUGCAUCCAAAACUGCUGAUCUAGAGGGUAGACGGGGAAAAUGGAAUUCCACAAGUAGCGGUGAAAUGCGUAGAUAUGUGGAAGAACACCUGUGGCGAAAGCGGUUUUCCAGUUUACACCUGACGCUGAGGCGCGAAAGCAAGGGGAUCAAACAGG